GAGUUUGAUCUUGGCUCAGAUUGAACGCUGGCGGCAGGCUUAACACAUGCAAGUCGAGCGGAGAUGAGGUGCUUGCACCUUAUCUUAGCGGCGGACGGGUGAGUAAUGCUUAGGAAUCUGCCUAUUAGUGGGGGCAACAUUCCGAAAGGGAUGCUAAUACCGCAUACGUCCUACGGGAGAAAGCAGGGGAUCUUCGGACCUUGCGCUAAUAGAUGAGCCUAAGUCGGAUUAGCUAGUUGGUGGGGUAAAGGCCUACCAAGGCGACGAUCU
rnacentral:rRNA from 1 species